AUUCACCAAGAAGAGGCAAACAAAAGAAAACCAACACCAAACUUCAAGACAGGAAGCAAACCAAAAAAGUGGAGCAAAAUACAAGCAACUAAAGGAUUUUAUUUGUCUAGAAAUCAAAACAGGGCGCGCCAACUAAAGGAGUUAACACUCCGCGUCUAUACAGUACCAGUACAGUACCAUCUAUACAGUACCAGUACAGUACCAUCUAUACAGUACCAGUACAGUACCAUCUAUACAGUACCAUCUAUACAGUACCAGUACAGUACCAUCUAUACAGUACCAGUACAGUACCAUCUAUACAGUACCAUCUAUUCAGUACCAGUACAGUACCAUCUAUACAGUACCAUCUAUACAGUACCAGUACAGUACCAUCUAUACAGUACCGGUACAGUACCAUCUAUACAGUACCAGUACAGUACCAUCUAUACAGUACCAGUACAUUACCAUCUAUACAGUACCAGUACAGUACCAUCUAUACAGUACCAUCUAUACAGUACCAGUACAGUACCAUCUAUACAGUACCAGUACAGUACCAUCUAUACAGUACCAUCUAUACAGUACCAGUACAGUACCAUCUAUACAGUACCAGUACAGUACCAGUACAGUACCAUCUAUACAGUACCAUCUAUACAGUGCCAUCUAUACAGUACCAGUGUUGUACCAUCUAUACAGUACCAGUACAGUACCAUCUAUAAAGUACCAGUGCAGUACCAGUGUUGUACCAUCUAUACAGUACCAGCGGUUGUACCAUCUAUACAGUACCAGUACAGUACCAGUACAGUACCAGUACAGUACCAUCUAUACAGUACCAGUACAGUACCAUCUAUACAGUACCAGUACAGUACCAGUACAUUACCAUCUGUACAGUACCAGUACAGUACCAUCUAUACAGUACCAGUACGGUACCAUCUAUACAGUACCAGUACAGUACCAUCUAUACAGUACCAGUACAGUACCAUCUAUACAUUACCAUCUAUACAGUACCAGUACAUUUCCAUCUAUACAGUACCAGUACAGAACCAUCUAUACAGUACCAGUACAGUACCAUCUAUACAGUACCAGUACAGUACCAUCUAUACAUUACCAGUACAUUUCCAUCUAUACAGUACCAGUACAGUACCAUCUAUACAGUACCAGUACAGUACCAUCUAUACAGUACCAGUACAGUACCAUCUAUACAGUACCAGUACAGUACCAUCUAUACAUUACCAUCUAUACAGUACCAGUACAUUUCCAUCUAUACAGUACCAGUACAGUACCAUAUAUACAGUACCAGUACAGUACCAUCUAUUCAGUACCAGUCAAAAGUUUGGACACACCCAUUCAUUCCAGGGUUUUUCUUUAUUUUUACUCUUUUCUACAUUGUAG
rnacentral:lncRNA from 8 species